rnacentral:lncRNA from 1 species
UUUCAAACUUUUGAAAAAAAUGGCAUUUACAAAUGCAUCUGUUUAUAUAUAUGUGUGUUUACAUACAAGCAUGAGUCUGUUUUUGAAAGAAAAGAAAAGAAAGGUAGAAGAAUGAUUAGAAGCAUGUUGAUAAAAAUGGAGUCUUGAGUCCUGAGUCAUUGUUGGCUUUGUGGAGUGAUUGCGGUGUUAAGUCGGGUCUAGAGUAGUUGGGCGGAGAACGGCCUGAUCUACGGGCGGCGGCCGGAGAUUCGAGGGAGAACCGAGGGUGUCGCCGUUGCUUCGGCGAGCUCGGGCGGCGGCGGUUUUCGUUGGUGGAGGAGCGGAUUUUGAGAAGCAGAGAGAGGGGUUUUGUGUGUGUGCGUCGAGUGCGAGAGAAGGGGGAUCAAGGGAGAGGGUGACCGGAGGCGGCGGCGCUUCGCCGGAGAAGAGGGUGGCGCCGCACCAAACUCUGGUGUGUGCGUGUGUUUGAUAAAGGGGAAGAGGAAGAAGGAUUAAGAGGAAUAGGGUUGGGGUGUGUUGGGCCAUUGCAUUGGGCCGGUUUUUAUUU